GGCCACAGCCAUAUCACCCUGCAGCCCGAGACUGGUUGCCCACUGAAGCUAAGUAGGGUUGAGCCUGGUCAGUAUCUGGAUGGGAGACCUCCUGGGAAAACUAGGUUGCUGUUGGAA
rnacentral:rRNA from 1 species